AUGGCCUUCUCCCCCGCUCUCCACCUCCACCACCCGCCUCGCCUCCAUCACCUCCUCCUCUCCUCCAACCCUCUUCCGUCCUCCUCCUGCGCUCAAUACCCAUGGCUCUCCGCCUGGUCCCGCCCCCUCCGCGGCCUCCGACCGCCAGCCCCUGCUCUCGACCUCCGCCCGGAGCCCUCCCCCACCUCCGACUCCGACGACGAGGACGCCGUAGGAACUAGCCGCCAUUCCGGACGCUCGACCAUGUCUCUCAUUCUCCGCCGCCUCAAGCGCGCGGGCUAUUCACCCGAGGCCCAAACCGCCCCCUCCACCGUCUCUCAGCACCCGCGGCGGGGCUCCGUGGAGGACGUGUUCCGCGCGGACGAUGGUGUGCUUCCCAACGCGCGCGGGGGAUUCGACGAUGACGCGGAGUCCUCGCUCGUGGACGCGCGGUUCCCGUGGGAGCGGCCGAUGCCACCGCCCGAGGCGGCUGCGCGGGCCGCGAGGUCGCCGGCGUGGAUGGCGGAGCUUACGCUCCCUGAACCCGAGCUUAGGCGCCUUCGGCACGCGGCGAUGAGGAUCAAGUCCAAGACCCAGGUGGGCGGCGCUGGGGUGACGCGGGAAAUCGUGGCAAAAAUCAAGGAGAAGUGGAGGACGGAUGAGGUGGUCAGGGUCAAGGUCAACGGCACACCUGCGCUCAACAUGCGCCUCUUCCACGAGAUACUAGAGAGAAAAACAGGGGGAUUGGUAAUAUGGAGGUCAGGAACUUCUGUUUCUCUGUACAGGGGAGUAGCCUAUGACGUGCCUGAGACCACUAAGGGAACAAAUAGGACUUGGCAGGAUGUUGGUAUGAAGUCCUCAAUAAAAGGGCCUCCUAUCCCUUCCUCGCUACCUAACGAGAAAGUUAAUAGCAUGCAAGAUAGCAAUGGAGGCUUGGUAUCUAAUACUGAGAAAGAGGAAACAAUUGAAACAGUUCCAGAAAUCAAAUAUGAAGAAGAAAUUGACAGGUUGUUGGAUGAGCUUGGCCCUAGAUACAGCGACUGGCCUGGAUCCAAUCCAUUACCAGUAGAUGCAGAUUUGCUUCCCUCAACUGUACCUGGUUACAAACCCCCUUUCAGAGUUCUGCCAUAUGGAGUACGGCGGUCACUCAGCCGAAAGGACACUACCAAUUUGCGGCGUCUUGGUCGGGGACUGCCUCCUCACUUUUCUCUCGGGCGAAGCAGACAACUCCAAGGAUUAGCAGCUGCUAUGGUGAAGUUAUGGGAGAGAAGUUCCAUUGCAAAAAUUGCUUUGAAGAGAGGAGUGCAACUUACUACCAGUGAGAGGAUGGCUGAAGAUAUCAAAAAAUUAACAGGUGGGGUAAUGCUUUCAAGGAACAAUGACUUUGUAGUCUUCUACAGAGGGAAAGAUUUCUUGUCCACGGAACUCGGAGAGGCACUCCUAGAGAGGGAAAGUUCAAUGAAGUCCCUACAAGAUGAGGAGCAAGCACGGUUGAAUGCAAAACUGUCAUUUACUUCUAGCACUGAGGCAUUUAUAGAAUCCACUGUAGCUGGUACUCUUGGAGAGACCGUUGAAGCUAACUCUAAAUAUGGAAAUGAACUGGACGGUAAUCACGUGGACAAGAUGACAAGAACUGUAGAAGCUGCAAAGCAUGCUGAUCUUGUAAGGAAGUUAGAGUGGAAGCUUGCGCUUGCAGAGAAAAGGAUAGCAAAAGCUCAACGAGUGCUUGGAAAAGUCGAGACUGCCUUGAAGCCAACUGAAGAUACCAAACCACCUGAAACAAUAACCUAUGAAGAGAGGUUCAUGUUUCGGAAACUUGGUCUAAGGAUGAAGGCAUUUCUGCUCCUUGGUAGAAGAGGAGUUUUUGAUGGCACAAUUGAAAAUAUGCACUUGCACUGGAAAUACAGGGAACUGGUGAAAAUACUAGUGAAAGCAAAGUCUUUUGCAGAUGUCAAGAGGACAGCACUAUCACUUGAAGUUGAGAGUGGGGGCAUUUUAGUUUCUGUGGACAAGGUCUCCAAAGGCUAUGCCAUUGUUGUGUUUCGUGGGAAGGACUAUAAACGUCCUUCCAUGCUGAGACCAAGGAAUCUUUUGUCAAAGAGAAUGGCUUUAGCUCGAUCCAUUGAGCUACAGAGAAUGGAGGCCUUGAGUCGUCACAUUGGAAAGUUAAACAGAAGGGUGAAUCAGCUCAGAUCCGAACUGGUCCAAGUAGAAGAUGUGAAGGACCAAGGAGACGAGGAGCUGUAUGCUAAACUGGAUUCUGCGUAUUCAAGCGAGGAUGAAGAUGUAGAGGACGAGGAUGAUGAGGCUUAUCUCAGGAGCUUUGACAACCCAAUUGCCAGGGCAACCGCUGAUGAUGAAAAUGAAACCGCCAUUGAGGACAGUGAGUCUAGUUAUAGCAAUGACGAUGAUUCCGCUGAAGAUAAUGGCGACUGCGAUGAAGAAGAUGAAGUUAAUGGUGUGGAAUAUUCAGACUAUGACGACGAUGAAGACUGUGAGCCCGCUGUAAUUUCUGCUGGUGAUUUCCAGCGUAACUUGUAUUCGGGUUCUGACGGUGACCGACCGCCUAGAAGAAGGGGAUGA
rnacentral:rRNA from 1 species